rnacentral:rRNA from 1 species
AUUGAACGCUGGCGGCAUGCCUUACACAUGCAAGUCGAACGGCAGCACGGGGGGUAACCCCUGGUGGCGAGUGGCGAACGGGUGAGUAAUAUAUCGGAACGUGUCCUGUAGCGGGGGAUAACCUAUCGAAAGAUGGACUAAUACCGCAUACGACCUACGGGUGAAAGCGGAGGACCGCAAGGCUUCGCACUAUAGGAGCGGCCGAUAUCGGAUUAGCUAGUUGGCGGGGUAACGGCCCACCAAGGCGACGAUCCGUAGCUGGUCUGAGAGGACGAUCAGCCACACUGGAACUGAGACACGGUCCAGACCCCUACGGGAGGCAGCAGUGGGGAAUUUUGGACAAUGGGCGCAAGCCUGAUCCAGCCAUGCCGCGUGAGUGAAGAAGGCCUUCGGGUUGUAAAGCUCUUUCGGCGGGGACGAAACGGUUCGUGCUAAUACCACGGACUACUGACGGUACCCGCAGAAGAAGCACCGGCUAACUACGUG